AGGUUCUUCCAGCGGUCUACCAGUCCCCGCCAUAAUUGCUCUGGUUGUCGUGGCUCCACUGAUCCUCAUUGCUGUCAUCUGUUUCUUCUUUCUACGAAGGAAUAAAGGACAUGCAACCAGUGUGAUCUACGAGGCUCCCCACUUUGACUCUGAGCAAGCAGAGACGGACAAACACAGCACGAGUUCCUCCAGAGGAUCUUAUCAAUGGUGCCAAGUGCCUGUGUAUGAUUCCUUGGACUACUUUGAGCAAGUGGAGACUAAAAGAAGUGAAUAAGGAUUUACUCCAUCAUUAUACCCAACUCUUCACAUUGUAUAUCAAGUGUAUUAUUUUGCCUUAUUGAUGUAAAUUCUUUUGUUUAAUGAAAUAUUUUAUAUUAUAAUAAUAAAAAUGUU